UUAAGUUCAGCGGGUAUCCCUACCUGAUCCGAGGUCAACCAGAAAAAAUGGGGAUUGGAUGGCAAGCACGCGACCGGACCUCCAGAGCGAGAAGAAUUACUACGCUCGGAGCCGGACGGCACCGCCACUGACUUUAGGGCCCGCCGGGGCGGCGGGGCCCAACACCAAGCUGAGCUUGAGGGUUGUAAUGACGCUCGGAC
rnacentral:misc_RNA from 1 species